GCGGCUGUGGCGGAACUGGUAGACGCGCUGUCUUCAGGUGGCAGUGGGCGUAAGCCCGUGCAGGUUCGAGUCCUGCCAGCCGCACCA
rnacentral:tRNA from 1 species